CUAGAAGAACAGGAUUUGAACCCGCACUAAAAAACUCAAAAUCUCUUGUACUCCUUAUACUAUCUCCUA
rnacentral:tRNA from 1 species